GCCUGUAGGGCCUUGGCGGCCGGUGGUGCGACGGCGCAGGGCGGGCCCGGGCCCCGGACGAUGCGGCUCCUCCCGCACCGCGCGGGGCAUCCGUGGGUGCCCGAGGCCAGGCAGGCCCGACCCUGAGUGGGAAGGACCCGUCUCAGCCAUAGGCCCGCGGACCCGGCCAGCCUGGCCGCCUACAGCUGCGGCAGCCCUCGGUGCAAAGGAGGAGAACGCUGAGGCCCUGCGGUGCCAGCCCAGCUCUCCCAAGCUGUGGCUGCUGCUGUCCCCUGACCACGAACCACUAGAGCCUGACGAGGACAGAGCCUGUCAGGGUGAGCUCUGUGGGUGCCACCUCAGAGGCCUUCCUCACUCUGUGUCUCUCCCCACAGGGGGUCUCAGCGCUGGCUUUAACCCAGGUUUCCUCAUUACUUCCCAGUGCUUCUGCUGGUAUUUUGGAGUUCUUACAGACACCCAACACCACCCAUUCUGUCUGUAUUCAUGUUCCCACACCUCCUGGGCUGGGCUCACUCACCUUCCCACAUCUACUCUGCCUAUGGGUGCCCCACAGCUGAGAGGACUGGUACUCUCUCAACACUG